AGAGAUCACCUAUAUACUCUCUUUUAUGUUUUCGUUUCCCCCUCCUCCCAAACCCUAGAGCUCCGCCUACCUCCAUUUCUCUCGACUCAGUCAAAAUGGCGGAUGAGGUUCCUGUUGAGGCACCCACUCUUGGAGAGCCCAUGGAUGUCAUGACUGCCUUGCAGAUUGUGUUGAAGAAGUCGUUGGCUCAUGAUGGGCUCGUUCGUGGUCUCCACGAGGGGGCCAAGGCUAUUGAGAAGCAUGCUGCACAGCUUUGCGUGCUUGCGGAAGAUUGUGACCAACCGGACUAUGUCAAGCUGGUGAAAGCUCUUUGUACUGAUCACAAUGUGCACUUGGUGACUGUUCCUAGUGCUAAAACUCUUGGAGAGUGGGCUGGGCUUUGCAAGAUUGAUUCCGAGGGCAAGGCAAGAAAGGUUGUUGGGUGCUCUUGUGUCGUUGUCAAGGACUACGGGGAGGAGUCAGAGGGACUUAACAUCAUCCAGGGCUAUGUGAAGCCGGAAUGAGUCGAUUUUAUUGUUUUAGCUAGCAGUGUGGCAUCUAGAAAUUUUGAAACCCUGUUAUUUACUUUGCCUAUGGUUGAGGUUUUAAAUUAGUUUGUUUUGCUUUGUAAAACAUUACUUCUUUAAUUUUAUGUUAGAAUUCUAUAUUCUGGUUAA